ensembl:lncRNA
GUCCAGACCCAACACACCCAAGGACCUCAAACAUUAGUGUUCAUAAAAUCCUCUAGGGAAUCCUGAUGCCGUUUCACAUGUGAACAAAGAAGGUCGGGGGCCACGUCAACAAACAAAGGAUGCUGAGGCCGUCAAGCCAUCAAGCCAGCAGCCACCGCAGCCUGCCCUGACUGUGUACCCUGAGAGGAUUCAGAUUGGAGAAAAGCAGGAUACUGGCUCCAGAGAUCAGUCUCCAGGAAGUGAGAUUCCAAGAAGCUCAGAGGCAAGCCUGUUCCAGGACCAUACUUUCUGCCUCUGCACUGACAGAUGAUUCCCUGAAACAGCCACAAGAGUACAAGCUUGGUGGAGUGGAGUAGGGCAGAGCCUUGGCAAAUGUCUCAUAUACUCCAGGCGCUGUGCCAAAGGCUUCAUCUCAUCCAACCUUCCAGAGGCCCUGUGAGGUAGGGACUACAUCCCAUUUGCGUCGGCCCACUUGUGCCCAUUUAGAUGAGGAAACUGAGGGUUACAGAUAUUGCAGUGUGCUCAGGUUUGCCAACUAGAAAACUGCAAUAAAAAUUCUGACAUGACUUUCUCUGUCAAUUUUCUGUUCUUUGCUAUUCUGGUGGAAAUUUAAGAUGCUGAACUCUCAACUUUGUUUCAUGAAAAACUAAACGUGCAAGACUGCUGGAUUGUUACAAUGUCAAUUUCCUGCUCAGAUGCUACACAGUAGAUUUGCAAGAUGCUGCCAUUAGGAAAAACUGGGUGAAGGGUAUGUGGACUCUUUCUGUAUCGUUUCUUACAACAACAUACUAA